CUCCGAAGUUACCUGUGAAUCUCCCCUUCAGAUCUUACCACCGAACUGACCUUCUGCACUCUUCGAAACUUUUUCUGAUUCGACAGAAUGGUAGUUUUCAAUCUUGUUUGAGUAGAUGAGAAGUAUCAGGCUUUCAUCCGAUUUCCUGUAGAUUGGAUGAUGGAUAAACCAGUAAGGGUCUUGCCUAGGUUGAACAUGCA
rnacentral:lncRNA from 1 species